rnacentral:tRNA from 1 species
UGCUGGUUUAGCUCAGUCGGUAGAGCGCAUCCAUGGUAAGGAUGAGGUCGCCGGUUCGAUCCCGGCAACUAGCAU